ACAUUUCACCACUGUGUAGAUGAAACCUGC
rnacentral:piRNA from 1 species